rnacentral:ncRNA from 1 species
CAUAGGGCAGUGUGGCUUGGUUAAGGGAACGGAACCCACCGGAGCCCUAGCGAAAGCGAGUCUUAAUAGGGCGAUUGUCACUGCUUAUGGACCCGAACCUGGGUGAUCUAUCCAUGACCAGGAUGAAGCUUGGAUGAAACUAAGCAGAGGUCCGAACCGACUGAUGUUGAAGAAUCAGCGGAUGAGUUG